UCCUGUCCUCUGGGGUAGAAGCCUGAGACAGAGCUGUUUGUGUUUCAGGAGCACAAGGUUACCCGGGGCAGAAACAGCGCAAACUGUGGUCAGGCAGAGCCUUGUGCUUGCUGCUGGCUGCCGGGCACUGUCCCCACAGAGCUGCACACAGGACACUGUGUCACUUCCGUCCUGUCACGGCUUUAUUCUGCCAUGUCACCUCAGGGCAACUCCUGGCCAGGGCCCAUGUAGUACCCACAGGGGCUACGCGACCUGCAAAGAUGGCAGUGAGCACAGCCGGGAAGCCUCUCAGGACCAGGAAGUGGGCCUGACUUUUUCUGAGCCUUCUCCACCAGGGACAGGCUGGCCUCACAGGAGGCCUGGAGCCAGGCUGAGCCUCGGUUUCUCUCUCCACCAUGGGACCUGAGGGUGGGUGGGCUCUUCAUGCCCCAGGCCAUGACCUCUCCUUGUUAAUGAGCCAUGAAUCGGUAGCAUUUCUGUGUGUCCUUUCUGAAAUUACCUUCUAACAUGCAUUGCUUUUCUGCCGGGCCCACUUGUGCCCCUUCUGGUACGAGCCAUGAUGGCGACUUGCAGAGUGGUCUGGGCUUCAGCCUCCAGCCCUCCUGAUGGCCUGGGUGGGCCCCAGUUCCAUGUCUCCCCUCUGUUCCAUCACAGACUGGGGCCCAACGGGAGGAGAGCCGGCAGAGGACUGCAUGGGCUCGGCUGUGAUUGCCAGUAGCCAGAGCAGAUGCAACCCCUGCCCUCUGGGGCUUCAGCGCUGUUUGAGGUCCUCAGUCACCCUGGACAGCUGAGCAAGCAUUCCUCGCACUGCAGUAGAUGGCACUUUCCCGGCCUCCCUAGAUGUGGAUCCACAGCAGUGCAAGAGGAGCCCAGGAGCGGCAUAGACUCCGGGCAGCACAGCGCUGCAGAGCUGAAGCCUGAGGAGAGUCCUCCUUUUUUGUCCUCCACUUCUUGGUGCAGCUACACUCCCAGGAGAAUCCACCAGCUGAACUCCUGGCCCAGCUGGAGCAAGCAGAGCCCACUGAGGCACAGCCCAUGGGCGAGGAGGACGGGGUGUAGGCCUGUGGGACCAGCUCCACCCCCAGCUGAAGUCCCAUGUGCGGAGCCCGAGCCAGCUCCACCUGCAGCUUCCUGCCCAGGGCUGGGACCACAGCCAGAGUCCAUGGCAGCCGCUUCACCUGCUGCAGUGCUGGGGCACCCGGUGGUUGCACGGCUGUCGGUGUCACCUCCUGAGCUCCGCCUGGGGCCAGCUCCUGGCCCCCUCCCACUGUUCCCCUCACUUAUGCUGGCUCUUGUUUUGGUAUUUACAAUUGCCCUUAUUUCUUG
rnacentral:lncRNA from 1 species